UGAUGCAGCCAUGCCGCGUGUGUGAAGAAGGUCUUCGGAUUGUAAAGGAAGGUCUUCGGAUUGUAAACCCCUGUCAAGUGGGAGCAAAUUAAAAAGAUAGUACCACUAGAGGAAGAGACGGCUAACUCUGUGCCAGCAGCCGCGGUAAUACAGAGGGUGCGAGCGUUAAUCGGAUUUACUGGGCGUAAAGCGUGCGUAGGCGGCUUUUUAAGUCAGAUGUGAAAUCCCCGAGCUUAACUUGGGAAUUGCAUUCGAUACUGGUUGGCUAGAGUGUGGGAGAGGAUGGUAGAAUUCCAGGUGUAGCG
rnacentral:rRNA from 1 species